CGUAGGUGGCGAGCGUUAUCCGGAAUCAUUGGGCGUAAAGAGGGAGCAGGCGGCCGCAAGGGUCUGUGGUGAAAGACCGAAGCUAAACUUCGGUAAGCCAUGGAAACCGGGCGGCUAGAGUGCGGAAGAGGAUCGUGGAAUUCCAUGUGUAGCGGUGAAAUGCGUAGAUAUAUGGAGGAACACCAGUGGCGAAGGCGACGGUCUGGGCCGCAACUGACGCUCAUUCCCGAAAGCGUGGGGGAGCAAAUAGGAUU
rnacentral:rRNA from 1 species